UACGGAGGGAGCUAGCGUUAUUCGGAAUUACUGGGCGUAAAGCGCACGUAGGCGGUUACUCAAGUCAGAGGUGAAAGCCUGGAGCUCAACUCCAGAACUGCCUUUGAAACUAGGUGACUUGAAUCCGGGAGAGGUGAGUGGAAUUCCGAGUGUAGAGGUGAAAUUCGUAGAUAUUCGGAAGAACACCAGUGGCGAAAGCGACUUCCUGGACCAAUACUGACGCUCAUGUGCGAAAGCGUGGGGAGCAAACAGG
rnacentral:rRNA from 1 species